rnacentral:rRNA from 1 species
UAACCAGGUUGAAGGCGUGAUUGCCUUUUGGAGGACCGAACCCGUAUCUGUUGCAAAAGGUUGGGAUGAGGUAUUAUUAUGGGUGAAAGGCCAAUCAAACCUGGUGAGCUG